UACGAAGGGGGCGAGCGUUGUCCGGAUUCACUGGGUGUAAAGGGCGCGUAGGCGGGUUUGUAAGUCAGGGGUGAAAUCUCACGGCUUAACCGUGAAACUGCCUCUGAUACUGCAAAUCUUGAGUUCGGAAGAGAGUAGCGGAAUUCCAGGUGUAGUGGUGAAAUACGUAGAUAUCUGGAAGAACACCAGUGGCGAAGGCGGCUACUUGGUCCGUAACUGACGCUGAGGCGCGAAAGCUAGGGGAGCAAACGGG
rnacentral:rRNA from 1 species